AAAUAAAAAAUUAAAAAAAUUGAAGCAAUUAAUAUGAUUUUGUCACAAAAAGUUGUUUUAUUAUAUUUGUGGGAAAUUUUAAUAAUUUAUACAGUUUAUUUAUUUUGCUUGACUAUUCAAGAACCAGAUAACUUAUUACAACUUGACGGGUCAAAUGAUAUGUUGUUUACCGCUUUGCCGAACGAUUUGACAAAUAUAAGAUCCGAGAACAAUUCAGUUAGCAAAAGUUGGCAUUCAAAAAAUAAAAACAGAAAGGUAUGCGAUUCACCGCAUUGCCUAAAUAUAUCUUUAACCAUCAAAGCAUCAUUAAAUGAAUCAGAAGAUCCGUGUAAUGAUUUUUACAAUUUUGCUUGCGGUGGAUGGAAGGCAUCGCAUGAAAUUCCAUCAAGCGAAAACGAAAUUACAGCUUUUACAAUUCUUAACCAACAAAUUGAAGAUGAACUUCAUGAUCUGCUGAGUGCAGAUCCAAUAAAAAAAGAAAACAACGCUUUAAAAAAAGCACGUUUGUUUUAUAAAUCUUGUAUGAAUAUACAAACAAUAGAAGAACUAGGACCCAAACCUGCUUUAGAUUUUAUAAACUAUUUAGGAGGAUGGUCACUUUGUACCAAUCCUGAUUGGCAAACUACUUACGCUGAAAAAUGGGAUGCGUACGAAGUUUUAAAAAAAUUGCAAAGAAAUUUUUUUCCAGCUCCACCGUUUUUUACUGUUGACGUCACGAAUGACCAUUUAAAUUCAACUCAACACCUUAUUAAGAUUGACCAAUCCGGAUUAAGCCUUCAAAGAGAGAUUUAUUUUAAGCAUAGCAACGUUAUUACCGACUAUGGUGAAUAUAUGGUAAAAGUAGCUAAAUCUCUUGGAUAUACUUGUAAUGACACAGAUCCGGAGCGAAAUAUUACAGCACAAAUGUUUUCCAUAUUAGAGUUUGAAAAGGAGCUAGCCGAGAUUACAACACCUGCAGAAGCAAAGCAAGCAGGAACGUUUCGCAGAAUAAAUCUUGCUAUUAUGGAAGAUGUUGUUAGCGAAUUCAAUUGGAAGGACCAUCUUCAAGAUUUAUUUUAUUCUGUUCAUAUAUUACCAGAUGAAGUUGUUCUAGCAACAUCACCCAAUUAUUUGAAAAAAGUUGCUAAUCUUAUUAAAAAAACAGAUAAAAGACUUCUCUCACGUUAUAUGAUGUGGCAAAUGUUAAGAGAUAAAAUCAGUUUUCUUUCUGAUGACUUUCGAAAAGCUAGAGCUGAAUUUAAUCAAAAAAUGACUGGUGUUGAAGAUACAGAACCUCGCUGGAGAAAGUGCAUAAGUAUGACAAAUGAAAAUAUGGGUAUUCCAAUUGGAGCCUUAUAUAUAGAAAAAUACUUUAGUGAAAGUACAAAAACAAAGACAAAUGAUAUGAUUGAUGAAAUAGUUGAAGCAUUUAAAUCACGCAUAGAUAACCAUGACUGGAUUGAUGGUAAGACAAGAAAAGGUGUUAUACAAAAGGUGGAUGCUUUGGUUGCAAAAGUAGGUUAUGCAUCGUAUAUUAAAAAACCGUUAGAGUUGAACAAACGUUUUCGAAAAUUAAAAAUUGAUGAAGAUAAGUUCUUUGAAAACAACUUAAAUGUAGACAAGUGGUUACGCUACCGGCUUUAUGACAAAUUACGCAAACCUGUUGACAAGACAAAGUGGCCUAUGUUUCCUCAGACUAUUAAUGCUAUGUAUCAGUUUUAUGAAAAUGAAAUAGUGAUUCCUGCUGGAAUUUUACAACCACCAUUUUUUUACACAGGAGAUGUUCCCAGGUCGCUAAGCUAUGGUGCUAUUGGUUCAAUAAUUGGCCAUGAACUAACUCAUGGAUUUGAUAACACUGAUAAGUGGAAAAUUAACUCUCGGGGAAAAUAUUGCUGAUAAUGGAGGUGUAAAAAUUUCUUUUCAGGCAUAUGAGGAUUAUUUGGCUCAUCGAGAAGAUAAAGUCUUACCCAACUUACCUUUUAACAAUAGGCAGCUAUUUUUUAUAGGCUACGCACAGGAGUAUUGCUCAAAUGUGAGGGAAAGAACUGAAUAUAUUGC
rnacentral:misc_RNA from 1 species